rnacentral:rRNA from 1 species
GACGUAGGGCGCGAGCGUUGUCCGGAUUUAUUGGGCGUAAAGAGCUCGUAGGCGGCUCGUUGCGUCGGCUGUGAAAACCCGCAGCUCAACUGUGGGCUUGCAGCUGAUACGGGCGGGCUGGAGUUCGGUAGGGGAGACUGGAAUUCCUGGUGUAGCGGUGAAAUGCGCAGAUAUCAGGAGGAACACCGGUGGCGAAGGCGGUUCUCUGGGCAUUACCUGACGCUGAGGAGCGAAAGUGUGGGGGAGCGAACAGG